AAAUUGAAGAGUUUGAUCAUGGCUCAGAUUGAACGCUGGCGGCAGGCCUAACACAUGCAAGUCGAACGGUAACAGGAAGCAGCUUGCUGCUUUGCUGACGAGUGGCGGACGGGUGAGUAAUGUCUGGGAAACUGCCUGAUGGAGGGGGAUAACUACUGGAAACGGUGGCUAAUACCGCAUAACGUCGCAAGACCAAAGAGGGGGACCUUCGGGCCUCUUGCCAUCAGAUGUGCCCAGAUGGGAUUAGCUGGUUGGUGAGGUAACGGCUCACCAAGGCGACGAUCCCUAGCUGGUCUGAGAGGAUGACCAGCCACACUGGAACUGAGACACGGUCCAGACUCCUACGGGAGGCAGCAGUGGGGAAUAUUGCACAAUGGGCGCAAGCCUGAUGCAGCCAUGCCGCGUGUAUGAAGAAGGCCUUCGGGUUGUAAAGUACUUUCAGCGGGGAGGAAGGUGUUGUGGUUAAUAACCGCAGCAAUUGACGUUACCCGCAGAAGAAGCACCGGCUAACUCCGUGCCAGCAGCCGCGGUAAUACGGAGGGUGCAAGCGUUAAUCGGAAUUACUGGGCGUAAAGCGCACGCAGGCGGUCUGUCAAGUCGGAUGUGAAAUCCCCGGGCUCAACCUGGGAACUGCAUUCGAAACUGGCAGGCUUGAGUCUUGUAGAGGGGGGUAGAAUUCCAGGUGUAGCGGUGAAAUGCGUAGAGAUCUGGAGGAAUACCGGUGGCGAAGGCGGCCCCCUGGACAAAGACUGACGCUCAGGUGCGAAAGCGUGGGGAGCAAACAGGAUUAGAUACCCUGGUAGUCCACGCCGUAAACGAUGUCUACUUGGAGGUUGUGCCCUUGAGGCGUGGCUUCCGGAGCUAACGCGUUAAGUAGACCGCCUGGGGAGUACGGCCGCAAGGUUAAAACUCAAAUGAAUUGACGGGGGCCCGCACAAGCGGUGGAGCAUGUGGUUUAAUUCGAUGCAACGCGAAGAACCUUACCUGGUCUUGACAUCCACAGAACUUUCCAGAGAUGGAUUGGUGCCUUCGGGAACUGUGAGACAGGUGCUGCAUGGCUGUCGUCAGCUCGUGUUGUGAAAUGUUGGGUUAAGUCCCGCAACGAGCGCAACCCUUAUCCUUUGUUGCCAGCGGUUAGGCCGGGAACUCAAAGGAGACUGCCAGUGAUAAACUGGAGGAAGGUGGGGAUGACGUCAAGUCAUCAUGGCCCUUACGACCAGGGCUACACACGUGCUACAAUGGCGCAUACAAAGAGAAGCGACCUCGCGAGAGCAAGCGGACCUCAUAAAGUGCGUCGUAGUCCGGAUUGGAGUCUGCAACUCGACUCCAUGAAGUCGGAAUCGCUAGUAAUCGUGGAUCAGAAUGCCACGGUGAAUACGUUCCCGGGCCUUGUACACACCGCCCGUCACACCAUGGGAGUGGGUUGCAAAAGAAGUAGGUAGCUUAACCUUCGGGAGGGCGCUUACCACUUUGUGAUUCAUGACUGGGGUGAAGUCGUAACAAGGUAACCGUAGGGGAACCUGCGGUUGGAUCACCUCCUUACCUUAAAGAAGC
rnacentral:rRNA from 1 species